rnacentral:pre_miRNA from 1 species
GUUGCGGGGGGGCUUGUCCCUCAGCCCGGAUUGCGAGAGGGCGCAGGCCAGGCCGAAGGAACCCACCAGUGCACA